rnacentral:rRNA from 1 species
UACGAAGGGGGCUAGCGUUGCUCGGAUUGACUGGGCGUAAAGGGCGCGUAGGCGGUUCGUACAGUCAGACGUGAAAUUCCUGGGCUCAACCUGGGGGCUGCGUUUGAUACGUGCGGGCUUGAGUUCGGAAGAGGGUCGUGGAAUUCCCAGUGUAGAGGUGAAAUUCGUAGAUAUUGGGAAGAACACCGGUGGCGAAGGCGGCGACCUGGUCCGAUACUGACGCUGAGGCGCGAAAGCUAGGGUAGCAAACGGG